AGUUGCAGCAACAUAUCUCUCUCUCUCUCGCUUGAUUCCGGCGUCCUUCUUCCCGGCGAGUCAUCGCCGGAAGCCAUCUCUCUCUCUCUCGCAUACAUCGGUAACCACCCAAACACUCACCUCUCAAUCUCUCUCGAAUCUCCUCCGGCGAAGAACUGUCGGUCAGUCACCUCCCUCAACGUUUCACUACAGCGCCGUUGUUCCUGCUGCUGAUUCUGCUCUGGGCCGCGACCUGCGGCGCUUGGCCUUUGGCCGCGCCGUCCCGCUCCGCCUGAAGUCGCCGAGUCAGCCGCCUUCGACUGCUGCUGUCGCCGAGGAGUCCGCCGACUGCUGCUGUUCGUUGAGGAGUCCGCCGGCUGCUGCCACAAGUCUGCCGUCGUCGCAGCGAGACCGGCGCAGCACCAUCAUCCUCGCGUCCCUCUGAUGCCGGCGUAGUUCUGCCAGUCGUCUGGAGUUGCCGCCACCGUCGCCAGCUGGACCCUCGGCAGCCGCUGCUGUCGUUCUCGGGCUCCGAGUUCCGAAGCCGGUGAGAGCUCCAUCAUCGCGUCGUCUCGUUCGUCUCUCGGCCCAACUGAACAGGUCGUGGAGCAACAAGGCGAGCUUCUCGCCUGAACCCACCGCCGAGCACCGAGUCGCUGCUGCUCGUCGUCUCUUGAUCAGCCUGAACAGGCCGCGUCCCUUCUUCCUAAAGCUAAGUUAUAUCCUUGACUCGUCUUCUUCCUACCAUGUCUGAGUAUCGAUAAGCUUAAGCUUCUAUGAGUAAGAAAGAAUCAGGGUUUAACACUCUGUCAGUGAGCAUGCUAUCGCUAUCCUUGUUCGUUCAUUCAUGUGCUAUGUGUGAGGUCCUCAUGGUUUGUGUUCUAGAGUGCAGUGGCAGUAUACACAUAAGUCUUUCUAUUGCUAUACAUAACAUGGACUGUUUGAUGUAGUGGUAAAACAUGAUUAUGCUCGUUGGUAUGAAUGCGAACUCGAUUGGAUAACUGAGGUGGAAUAAGGGAAGAAGGUGGAGCAUUGAAGACAAGCUUACCUUGAGAAUACUUGGUAGGAUGAAUUAAAGGCUCACUUCUCCUUGUGCAGUCCUCAAAUGAAGAAUGAAGAGAAUGCAACAAUGUUGGCUGUUUUGAAUGACGAGGUGGUUUGGCUGGGAGCUUGUAUACAUGGGAGGAGGUACAUUCUAGGGUGGCUGAUUGACAUAUUUAGGUGUACUUGGGCAUGGCAGCCUGCUGCAUAGGCGUGGGAAAAGAAAAGGUGCAGCAAGCUCAAGAGGGGAUAGGGGAGUGUGCAGCACAUGUCUCCAUACCUUAUUGUUAUUCCCAUUUUCUUGAACUUAGGGGGGGGGUGGCAGGUGGUGGAGUAGUAAAAAUCUAAUUUGUAUUAUUAUCGAGAUUGCUAAAUUAAAUCCAUAGAUUUAAUUCGUUCGUCA